rnacentral:rRNA from 1 species
CCUACGGGCGGCAGCAGUGGGGGAUAUUGCACAAUGGGGGGAACCCUGAUGCAGCGAUGCCGCGUGUGGGAAGACGGUCCUCUGGAUUGUAAACCACUGUCCCCAGGGACGAAAAUGACGGUACCUGGGGAGGAAGCUCCGGCUAACUACGUGCCAGCAGCCGCGGUAAUACGUAGGGAGCGAGCGUUGUCCGGAAUUACUGGGGGUAAAGGGAGCGUAGGCGGGGAUGCAAGUUGGGUGUCAAAACUACCGGCUCAACUGGUAGUCGCACUCAAAACUGCAGCUCUUGAGUGAAGUAGAGGCAGGCGGAAUGCCUAGUGUAGCGGUGAAAUGCGUAGAUAUUAGGAGGAACACCAGUGGCGAAGGCGGCCUGCUGGGCUUUUACUGACGCUGAGGCUCGAAAGUGUGGGGAGCAAACAGGAUUAGAUACCCUGGUAGUC